rnacentral:rRNA from 1 species
UACGUAGGGUGCGAGCGUUGUCCGGAAUUAUUGGGCGUAAAGGGCUCGUAGGCGGUUUGUCACGUCAGGAGUGAAAACUCGGGGCUCAACCCCGAGCCUGCUUCUGAUACGGGCAGACUAGAGGUAUGCAGGGGAGAACGGAAUUCCUGGUGUAGCGGUGAAAUGCGCAGAUAUCAGGAGGAACACCGGUGGCGAAGGCGGUUCUCUGGGCAUUACCUGACGCUGAGGAGCGAAAGUGUGGGAGCGAACAGG